AGGGGCGUAGCUCAACUGGCAGAGCACCGGUCUCCAAAACCGAAGGUUGUGGGUUCGAGUCCCUCCGCCCCUG
rnacentral:tRNA from 1 species